UCAGCGGAUCAAACUUGUGGAGGCUGAGAGAGCAAAAGUGUCAAUAUAUCCACCAGCUCAUCAGGUGUUUUCCUGGACACAAUUCUGUUGUCCGGACUUAGUGAAGGUGGUGAUAUUGGGACAGGAUCCAUACCAUGGACAAGGUCAAGCUCAUGGCCUGAGUUUCAGUUUUCAGGGCGAGGAGGACAAGACUCUUCCACCUAGCUUAAGGAAUAUUUUCAAGGAGCUGAAAAAUACUGUACCAGCAUUCCAACAUCCAGGACAUGGCUCACUGAUUGGCUGGGCUGAACAAGGUAAUUAUGAUUGAACAAAUA